GAAUAUUGGUCAAUGGGCGAGAGCCUGAACCAGCCAUGCCGCGUGCAGGAUGACGGCUUUCUGGGUUGUAAACUGCUUUUCUACAGGAAGAAAAAGGCCUUGCGAGGCCAAUUGCCGGUACUGUAGGAAUAAGCACCGGCUAACUCCGUUCCAGCAGCCGCGGUAAUACGGAGGGUGCGAGCGUUGUCCGGAUUUAUUGGGUUUAAAGGGUGCGUAGGCGGGCCUUUAAGUCAGUGGUGAAAGCCUCCCGCUCAACGGGAGAAUUGCCAUUGAUACUGGAGGUCUUGAGUUCAGUUGAGGUAGGCGGAAUUUAUGGUGUAGCGGUGAAAUGCAUAGAUACCAUAAAGAACACCGAUUGCGAAGGCAGCUUACUGGGCUUGGACUGACGCUGAGGCACGAAAGCGUGGGGAUCGAACAGG
rnacentral:rRNA from 1 species